UGGACUAACACUAGUUAGCAAUUGUGCUAACUAUAGUUAACAACUUCCUUUAAACUGCUCACAGAGAAAAUGGUAUCCACAAGUUCAUCUGACUCUGGGGAAGUAGAUAAAGGGCUUCAUUGCCAAAAUCCUGAAGUAUCCCUUUAAGUAACAUUUUCACUUUGAUGCAUUGAUGUCAAUGGGAGACUUAGUGGAAAUUGGACUGAAGUGGAGGUUAGGAUUUGCCCCUAAAAGAGCCCAAAGACCUCUCAGCCAUUAGUUUGUCUUUUUUUGUUGUUGUUACAAAAUACCCUCUCAUAACCAAUAAGUAUUAAUUGUUUGGUUGUGUUGAACUGGUACAUGUAAAUGUACUGGAAUGUACAUGCAAAUGUACUUUGACUGGAAAUGCAAAUGUUUUACAUAUAUUGUCUCCCAAUAGAGCACAUAUACAUACAGUCCGUUAAUAUAUUAUAAUUUAGUGUUGUAUACCGGGUUAAAUAAUCAGGGCUGAGUUUGGAUUGAUUUGAAAUCAGGCAUAUAUUUGUCUCCUCUGUGACCUUGUCACCAAGGACACACUCAGGAGCUACAACAAUACUUCCUGUAACCUUUCUAUGUAACACAACAUCCACUUAGUCUGACUCUAUAGAGAAAACAUCUAGUACAGACGUUUGCUCAAUGCUCAAUUUGUUUUUGUAUAACAGGAAAGCACACAAUGCUCUGUGAAAUCAAUAUGCAAGAAUUUUGCAGCUUUCUUCUGUGCAAUGCCAUCAACCCUUUGGCUCAGUUUAUAAACUGCACAGCAGUUGCUCUUCCUUGUGAUCAUUUUUUAAACUUUAUUAAAAUAUCUGGACCCAUAUUCACAAAGUGUCUCAGAGUAGGAGUGCUGAUUCUGGGAUAUUUUUUGUAUUUUAGAUCAUAAUGAAUACAAUGGCAUGGACAGGGGGGGGGGGGUCUGAUCCGAAAUGAUUCGUUCCUGUGUUGGUUUUAACGUUACAUCUAUCAGGCAGUGCACUUGUGGAGCUCAUGAACAACAAAUAAUUUACAAUGAGAAACCCCAGUCGAGUGGUUAAAAGGAUGAUUGUAAGGGACUGAUGUAUAAAAACAAAUCCUAAUUUAGAGGUCUUAAAGGUAGACUCAACGUUGUGAAAUCAUCAUCAUACACAGCGGGACAAUUUAUUGCUUGCUCCCAGAAAUCAACAUCUAAUCUGCCAGGACUGUUACUAUUGGUUCUUCCUUAAAUGGGCAUGCCUCAGGGGAGGGCACAGAUUAACAGUCCGUUUUGGUAGUUUUCUGUUGUUGAUGUCUGGAAGCAGGAGGUCACCAUGCCAUGUACGAUGAUAACAUAUAAUGAAGUCUGCCUUCAAUAUUUUAUUCGCAAAUGGGGAGAAAGGGACACAUUUUGAUGUUAAGAAAUAUUUGACAUGUUAAUGGUUCAAACCUGUGGUGCUGCCAUCAGAAUAGGCCAUAUUACAGC
ensembl:lncRNA